rnacentral:ncRNA from 1 species
GACUCCGCAAGUAGUGGCGAGCGAACGCGGACCAGGCCAGUGGUCACGAGGAGAUAACCGGAACCGUCUGGAAAGUCGGGCCGUAGCGGGUGACAGCCCCGUACGGGUAAUGCUCUUCGUGAUCCUCGAGUAGGGCGGGACACGUGAAAUCCUGUCUGAACGUGGGGGGACCACCCUCCAAGCCUAAGUACUCCUCAGUGACCGAUAGUGCACCAGUACCGUGAGGGAAAGGUGAAAAGCACCCCGACGAGGGGAGUGAAACAGACCUGAAACCGGAUGCCUACAAGCAGUCGGAGCGGCCCUGUGCCGUGACGGCGUACCUUUUGUAUAAUGGGUCAGCGACUUAAAGUAUGCAGCGAGCUUAAGCCGGUAGGUGGAGGCGCAGCGAAAGCGAGUCUGAACAGGGCGCUUGAGUUGCAUGCUUUAGACCCGAAACCUGAUGAUCUAGCCAUGGGCAGGUUGAAGGUGCGGUAACACGCACUGGAGGACCGAACUCACGCCUGUUGAAAAAGUCGGAGAUGACCUGUGGCUAGGGG